ACACGCCUGAGAUGUUCGCGGGGUUUAUUUAUAUUACUUCCACAUUUUGACAUACGGGAAUUCAGUAUUGAUGAUGCGGAUGUCGGGCCGCCUUAUGAGCGGAUGGCUGAAGUGUCUCCGAGAUAUCCCACCUAGCCUUUGGCUGGGAGUCAAUAAUAGGCUUUACGGCACCUUGGGUUUUUU
rnacentral:other from 1 species